rnacentral:sRNA from 1 species
UAACAUGAAUAGGUCCGGCUACCAGCCAGCC